AUACAACAUAUAAAUUACAAGAUGUUUGUAAACUAUUAAAAGAAGACGUGGAAAGGGUUACACCAGACAUGUGGAAGAACUUUGUUUCCCAUUUAAUAAAAGCGGAAGAUAAAUUUUGGAAAGUCGAUGUCAUAUCCAAUGAAAUUAUUGAUGCAGACAAAGAACACAUGUCUUCACAAGUACAAGGGAGAUGAGUUCAGACUUGGAUUCCGAUUGAAUCAUUUGG